UACGUAGGAUGCAAGCGUUGUCCGGAAUUAUUGGGCGUAAAGAGCGCGCAGGCGGUAUGACAAGUCAGAUGUGAAAGAGGCCGGCUUAACCGGCAAGGGUCAUUUGAAACUGUCAGACUAGAGUGCAGCAGAGGAUAGUGGAAUUCCCGGUGUAGUGGUGAAAUGCGUAGAGAUCGGGAGGAAGGCCGGUGGCGAAGGCGGCGCUCUGGAACAUUUCUGACGCUGAGGCUCGAAAGCGUGGGGGAGCAAACAGG
rnacentral:rRNA from 1 species